ACAUAUGAAAAAGAUGACAGAUGGUUGACCAACAGUGCUUUCUCACCUCCCACAAUCACCAACUUACCAUUCUUGACAAAUUUGAGCUUCUGGUGCAGAGUGGAAGUAAUAACCCCUGCUUCAUGAAUCCAUGGCCUUCCCAACAAACAGUUGUAGGCCGGGUGAAUGUCCAUUACCUGGAAAGUAAUCUGAAAAUCACUCGGACCUAUCUUG
rnacentral:lncRNA from 1 species